GCUUUGAAUACUACUUUUAAGUAUCUUGAUCAAAAAGAUUGCGUACAAGUGCAGGCCAAAUAUACUUGGACUUUUCUCUCAAGUAGGGCCUAUACCUAAUGUAAUUUUAAGUAUAUUUCUGAGAGGUACAUAAAGUAUAUUUUUGAGAAGUAUAUAAAAUGUAGACUGAAAGUAUACUUUCUUAUUUUUUAGUUGAAAAGAAGUAAUAGAACAAUUUUGGUAAGUGUUAGCCUUACUAAAUGUAUAGUUUUAUCAAAUUGCUGUAGGCUGCAGUAAAAUCUGUCAAAUAUCAACUGCAAAUUUGAAUGAAUUGAUUUACCUUUUACUAACUGGCAGCCUUAAGUAAGAUAACAGUUUUUGCAGUUCUACUAUAAAUCUUGCGUACAUAUAAAUAUACUAAUUAUACUGAUUACUCUGUUGUACAACCCACAAAAAAACAUGAAAACGUGUGUGUUAUGAUUACAUCACAAAUUAAAAAGGUACAAUAUUAAAGAUAAUAGAUAUUUGCCUAAGUAUCAGGCGCUUAUCCACGCGUACGUUAUCCACGCGCUUAUCCACACGUAGGUUAUCACACGUCAUUGGUCACGGCAAUGUACGUGACGAUCGACACGAUGAUUGCUUAGUUUGCAAAGUAAGUGCACACAUCACACCUCAUAGGCGACGCCUCGAAGCACAGCCAAUCCUUUACACCAACGCCGGCGAAAGAUCAGUUUCAAGAGGAGAUGGUGAUCCGACCACUGCACUCCGGAGACAUCUAUGCCAGCUUUCAGUUCCGUACACUGUGGGACACUGAUUUUCUGCAAGAGAGAAAGACAGUUUCCCAUUACUGGCUGUUCCCUAAAUCCCUCGGCCAAGUGCUCUCCAAGUUUUCCGUGCAGGAGCUGCACAUCUCCUCCACCCAGGGCUUCUGGAGAACCAUGCAGUGGGGGCAGCCCUUCAUCCCCUCUCCACCUGGAGCAGAGCUUUGGGUGUGGUUCCAUCAUACAGUCACUGAUGUGUAUGGAAACUGGAAAGAGCUUACAAAUGUGCUCUCUGGAAUCUUCUGUGCAUCUCUGAACUUCAUUGAUUCAACCAACACAGGACAGCCCAGUGCUGGGCUGAGAAACGCUACAGAUCACCGUUUUUUGCGUUAUGCAACAUUGCCCUGUGAAAUCGUAUGCACUGAGAAUCUGACCCCCUGGAAGAAGCUUCUCCCUUGUGGUUCUAAGGCUGGUCUGGCCGUGCUGAUGAAGUCAGAGAAGCUGUUUCACAGCAGUUUCCACUCUCAGACGGUUCACAUCAGACCUCUCUGUCAGGAUGCGCUGUGCACCAAUACAGCAUGGGAGCUGAGACAAACCCUCAGUGUGAUGUUUGAUCUCUAAACUUUAGGCCAAGGGAAAAAGGGGGGAGCUGUUUGAGCUGAGCCCUGCCACUCCUCUCCUCAGCCAAGCCGUGGUGCUGGGAGAUCGCAGAACGUAUUCAGUAUAUGACCUUACCAAUGCAGAGACCUUUGGGCAGUUGCGUUCACUCAAUCUCCUACUGCAUACCCAGGAUGCAUGGAAAGGAAACAGUGGUAUGAAUGAAUAAAUGAAUUUAAAAAAGCUGAGAUCAGGAGAGUACAUCUGAGGAACAAAUUUGCCUUUAUUCUGAUUUUUGGACAUUUAAUUUUAAACAGUGCUGACAUUUUCCUUAUUAAUUUUGUAUAUACAUUACUAGACCAAUCAUUCACAAACAUCUUUUGUGUUCUCUCUGUGUUGUAGUUGAUCUGCUGCGCCUGCUGCUGCAUGCAGAGCGCUAUGUGGCCGAGUUUGGGCUACAGACAGGGGAAAUCCACACAGUCAUCUAUAAUAAUCACCCAUAUCGAGCUUUUCCAGUACUGCUGCUGGAUUCAGUGCCCUGGCUACAUUCACUCAUCUGCUGGAGAUGCUGAUCCAGUUACCCCCUCACUCUAUGACAGAGGUCACUGUACAGUUUGGGAGAGCCCUGCUUAAAUGGACUGAAUACACCAGUGAUCCCAACCAUGGCUUCUACGUUGGAAUUGGGACAAAAACAUGGUUUGCCUUAUUUCUGACUCUACUUCUGUAAAUGUUUUAUAUCAGAUCCUCUGUGGUAAGUGCCCUUGUGCCAAGUACGGUCGCAAUGGACACCAACUUCACACAACAACAACCAUUGUUUAGCAGUUUGUAAGUAUGAGUUGGCCGUAGUGUUACUACUAAACAAAGAUGCACAAUUUCUUGCUCUUUAUAACUCCCCCCUCUGUUCCCAGCUUCCCAGUCAAAGAGGAGUCCAGCUAAUUUGUGCGAGUGUAUACCGAACCCCUGCUGGUAAAUCUACCCACACCUGAUUUCAGCAUGCCCUACAACGUGAUCUGCCUCACCUGCACGGUGGUCACGGUGGGUUACAGCUCCUUUUACAACUUACUGACCCGCACAUUUCAAGUAGAUGAACCGAGCCCACCGCUGGCAAAGCGGUUGGCCAACUUCAUUCGUCGCAUAAGGGGAGUGCCGCUGCUAACCUAAGAACAGCCAAGAACAUUUCUUGGGCCUGAAACAUACAUAUUAGGUGUAGAGGUCGACCGAUUAAUCGGCCGAUUUUUUGCAUUUUUUACAUAAUCGGCAUCGGCCAAUAUCCACGCAUAUCAAGCCGAUUAUUAGGCAGGCGCAUCUGUGGGCAGCCUAGUGUUGUUGUGGAACACGUGUUCGACGCACGCUGCCCCUAGAGUCAUUUUCCAGCAGAGUGAACAGACCUCAUCCAGUGCCUAAGGAAGGAGCUAAGUUCCUUGGAGAAAACAGUAAGGGUUAAAUUUGUAUAACUUCUUUAGAUUUAAUUAAAAACUUUUGAUAUGUUACUGCCAACUUCAAGAAAAACAUGACAAACGCGAUAGUUGACAUGACGUUCGGCUACUUUGGAUAUUGAUAGCGUAGUUGAAGUUGCAUUAUCACAGCAGAAGGGUUGCUAUCAUGUCACAAUAAGUAAGCAAGAAUUUUGCAAUUACAGACAGUGAAUCUGAGACUUUAAUUUGUUCUGUUUGUGUGUCUUAUAUUUGAGAGGGUUGUCACUCAAUGCAGAGAAAUAAGUAAUAAAAAAGAUACCAAUGCACUAUAGGCUAGUGAAGGACUGGCUUUGGUAAGCUUGGACGUUAUCGGUUCUGCUGUCGGUACUGGAGAAAUUAAGAAAAUACAUUCUUUAUUGCUAUAAAGAGAAAGUUAUUUUAUCUCGCCAGCCAUUUCUAUGUAUAAUAAUAAUAAUAUGAAACCAUUCUCUGUGAUGCAAUUUAGCUAUUCGCAGUCAGAGAGAGAGAGAGAGAUCUCGCUCACGCGGUGCCACAGCGAGCACAACACGAGCCCAACACGAGCACAGCUUAAUGAGUGACAGAACUAAACAUUCAAACGUAGCCUGGUUUAGAUCUGUGAUUAUUAGUCUGAUUUUAUUUUAGAUUUCGCCUUCCAAAGAUUAUAAAAAGAAUAUUUAUACAUAAGCCGCAUUCUGUCUGGCACAACUUUCUUCCCUUCACAGCGGUGCACUGACAUUUCUCCCUAAAACUCAAACUUAACGUCAGAAUCAGCACGAUCGGUGAUUGUUGUAAAAUGCAGUCUAGCUACUGUUGCUAAAUUGCGGGACGCUUAUAAUAAUAAAAAGAGCGCAAGAGAUACCGUUCCCAAGGCGGCGCGCGCUCCGAAACACACCGCAAAGAGACAAGCAAAGUAUAAGCUACUUUGGGUUUCAUGCGUCUAAACGAUCAACUAUACUAAAAAUAUGUCAAAACGACCGGCUUGGAGAUUCACUUAAACACAGUUUAUGUCUUAAAUGGACGUAGUUAUGGAAAUAGUUGGGAAAAAAUAUGCUGCAUUAGGAGUCUAUUAGAUCUGAACUCGGUCUUAAAGGGGAAGCGGUCUAAUGAAAAUGUUGACGAUUGAGCCAUUACUGCGAAUCAAACAACAAAAGGCAAAGAGAAAAUCACUUACAGCUCUUGAAUGAAUAACUUCUGCAUUAAUCUAUCUAUGAUAAACUAUGCAGUGUUAUUUUACAAUUGAUUACUUUAUUAGAUUUCUUUUUAGACCACACCUGAACAGUAAUGUUAGUAGACCUUCCUGAAAUUAAAUCACUGUGCCUAUAUAACGUUUAUAUUUGUGUAAUAUAUAUAUAUAUAUAUAAACAAAAAGAACCGUUAAGAAUACCGUUAAAGUACCGGAUCGAAAAACAGUAUUGGUAAGAGUAGUAAUACCAUUAAAACCUUAACGAUACCCAUCCCUAGUUAUGCCUGUGCUUCUCUUGGAUGCUCUGAAUAUUGGAUUACGUGUCUGGAUUGCCCCUUAAUUAAAGCUUCAUUUGGAUCUCAACCUUCGUGUCUCGGAGCAGUUCGUAACACCUGCUUUGUUUAUUUAAUAUAUUUGUUAUACAUUAUUUAUACAAUAUGUUUUUACAUUAUACAUUUUUAAUUUUAAGUGUACAAGUGCAGAUUGGUCAAGUGUUCAAUAAAUGUAUUU